UGAUUCCUACGGGACGCAGCAGUAGGGAAUUUUCGUCAAUGGGCGCAAGCCUGAACGAGCGAUGCCGCGUGAGUGGAGAAGGCCUUCGGGUCGUAAAGCUCUGUUGCGGGGGAAAAAAGGCAGCAUCAGGAAAUGGGUGCUGACUGAUGGUGCCCCGCCAGAAAGUCACGGCUAACUACGUGCCAGCAGCCGCGGUAAUACGUAGGUGGCGAGCGUUAUCCGGAAUGAUUGGGCGUAAAGGGUGCGCAGGCGGUCCUGCAAGUCUGGAGUGUACAGCAUGAGCUCAACUCAUGC
rnacentral:rRNA from 1 species